CUGCUGGGUGCUCGCCCGGCUCCGGAGGAAGGGAGAGCAGAAUCUUUAAUAUCUCUCAGCUCCACUCGCCCCAACUCCAAACCUGCUGGAACUCUGCAGUGACACAGAAAGGAGCUGCUUUCAUUAGCCUCUCACAUUGUCAUAACGAAGUGCUGCUGAUUCACAAGCAUAAUUACAUUGUUCUUUCAGCCUUUUGCGUGGCAGGGAGAGAACAGAGAGCAGAGCUGCUCCUGGAGACGCCUGGAAUAACCUCCCUGCUCCAGGGGGCUGCUUUGAAUCCUCGGCCUGUCCCCUGGGGACAAGGUGGCACCUGCCAGGGCACACAGCAUGUGCUGCCUGAUCCCAGCUCAGCCCUGGAUAUAAAAACUUCUUCCCUACCACACUCAGUGCUGCCAUUCCGCAGGGAGCAGACGUGGGCUGGUCCCUGCUGGAGCAGGCUGGUGCCUGUUCCCAGCCAGAGCAAAAAAGGUCACUCAGCACCAGCAGAUUUAGGGGCCAGCAAGUGCAAAUCCUGCAUUUGUUUAGGUCCUGCACGUUACCUCCAGCUGCAUUCACAUCCUGGGAGGAACAGAGGUUGGAGGGAUGUGACUCAAAGACAGCUGAGCAGGACUAAUUUUGGAAGCUGUUUGCUCUCCUCUGUGGAUGUCCCAGCAAAGGGGAUGCAGAGCAUCCACAGGAACUGCUGGAGGCCAAAGCAGAUAAAGAGUAAAGAAAAAGUGCUUUCUAAAGGACUUACCAAGACCACACACUCUUGGCUCCCUGGUGCAGAGCUUUCCAUAUUUUCCUUGGAAUGAGCAGCUUUUCUUCUUCCAGUUCCAUGUGGGAUAGAGGUUGGGUUGGUCUGAAACAGCACCCACAGCUGAUAAAAGAAGAGAGAAAUGCUUCUGUGUGUUGGCUCCCCAAACAACAGGGACAACACUGGUAGCUCCAGGUAAUCAUGGAAUCCUAAAAUCCUGGGAUGGUUUGGGUUGGAAGGACCUCAAAUCCCACCCAGUGCCACCCCUGCCAUGGGCAGGGACACCUCCCACUGUCCCAGGUGCUCCAGCCUGGCCUUGGGCACUUCCAGGGAUCCAGGGGCAGCCACAACUCCUCAGGGAAUUCCAUCCCAGCCCCGCC
rnacentral:lncRNA from 1 species